rnacentral:rRNA from 1 species
CGACAGCGACCACAGGUCAGGCGGGAUU